rnacentral:rRNA from 1 species
AGUGAACGCUGGCGGUAGGCCUAACACAUGCAAGUCGAACGGCAGCACAGGAGAGCUUGCUCUCUAGGUGGCGAGUGGCGGACGGGUGAGGAAUACAUCGGAAUCUGCCCAGUCGUGGGGGAUAACGUAGGGAAACUUACGCUAAUACCGCAUACGACCUUCGGGUGAAAGAGGGGGAUCUCAAGACCUCUCGCGAUUGGAUGAGCCGAUGUCGGAUUAGCUAGUUAGCGGGGUAAUGGCCCACCAAGGCGACGAUCCGUAGCUGGUCUGAGAGGAUGAUCAGCCACACUGGAACUGAGACACGGUCCAGACUCCUACGGGAGGCAGCAGUGGGGAAUAUUGGACAAUGGGCGCAAGCCUGAUCCAGCCAUACCGCGUGGGUGAAGAAGGCCUUCGGGUUGUAAAGCCCUUUUGUUGGGAAAGAAAUCUUUCAGGCUAAUACCCUGGGAGGAUGACGGUACCCAAAGAAUAAGCACCGGCUAACUUCGUG